AACGAACGCUGGCGGCAUGCCUAACACAUGCAAGUCGAACGAGACCUUCGGGUCUAGUGGCGCACGGGUUCGUAACGCGUUGGAACCUGCCUUUAGGUUCGGAAUAACUCAGAGAAAUUUGAGCUAAUACCGGUUGAUGUCUUCGGACCAAAGAUUUAUCGCCUUUAGAUGGGCCCGCGUUGGAUUAGCUAGUUGGUGGGGUAAAGGCCUACCAAGGCGACGAUCCAUAGCUGGUCUGAGAGGAUGAUCAGCCACACUGGGACUGAGACACGGCCCAGACUACGACGGGAGGCAGCAGUGGGGAAUAUUGGACAAUGGGCGAAAGACUGAUCAAGCAAUGCCGCGUGAGUGAUGAAGGCAUUAGGGUUGUAAAGCUCUUUUAACCGAGAUGAUAAUGACAGUAACGGGAGAAUAAGCACCGGCUAACUCCGUG
rnacentral:rRNA from 1 species